AAAGGAAUUGACGGGGACCCGCACAAGCAGCGGAGCAUGUGGUUUAAUUCGAAGAUACGCGAAAAACCUUACCAAGACUUGACAUCGCCCGACAACCCCAGAAAUGGGGCUUCCCUUCGGGGCGGGUAGACAGGUGGUGCAUGGUUGUCGUCAGCUCGUGUCGUGAGAUGUUGGGUUAAGUCCCAGAACGAGCGCAACCCUUAUCGUCAGUUGCCAUCAUUUAGUUGGGAACUCUGACGAGACUGCCGCGGAUAACGCGGAGGAAGGCGGGGAUGACGUCAAAUCAUCAUGCCCCUUACGUCUUGGGCUACACACGUGCUACAAUGGCCGCCACAAAGAGACGCAAAACGGCAACGUCGAGCAAAUCUCAAAAAAGCGGCCUCAGUUCAGAUUGUGGGCUGCAACCCGCCCGCAUGAAGACGGAGUUGCUAGUAAUCCCGAAUCAGCAUGUCGGGGUGAAUGCGUUCCCGGGUCUUGUACACACCGCCCGU
rnacentral:rRNA from 1 species